GAUAUCGAAAUACUAACAUAUAACAUCCCAUUGGUAGGGUAUCAAAAUGCCAGCGUAUAAUGCUCCAUUGGUAGGAUGUUGAUAUACUAAUAUAUAAUGCAUCAUGAGUAAUUCUUUGUAUAUCGAGGGCGGUGUUAUAAAUCCGAUGCGGAGUGCAACGCAUGUUGCGAUGGAGCCAUAUGGCAUCUACGUGGAAGACAGGAUAGGGC
rnacentral:lncRNA from 1 species